rnacentral:rRNA from 1 species
CCUUCCGUAAGGGAACCUGCGGAAGGGUUAUUAUUGGGAUUUAGUACUAAACUGCGUGAGCGGAACGAAAACANCAACACCUANNAUGUGGAAUAUAGCAUAUAGUCGACAAGAGAAAUCUACGAAAAACAAACAAAACUUUCAACAACGGAUCUCUUGGUUCUCGCAUCGAUGAAGAGCGCAGCGAAAUGCGAUACCUAGUGUGAAUUGCAGCCAUCGUGAAUCAUCGAGUUCUUGAACGCACAUUGCGCCCCUCGGCAUUCCGGGGGGCAUGCCUGUUUGAGCGUCGUUUCCAUCUUGCGCGUGCGCAGAGUUGGGGGAGCGGAGCGGACGACGUGUAAAGAGCGUCGGAGCUGCGACUCGCCUGAAAGGGAGCGAAGCUGGCCGAGCGAACUAGACUUUUUUUCAGGGACGCUUGGCGGCCGAGAGCGAGUGUUGCGAGACAACAAAAAGCUCGACCUCAAAUCAGGUAGGAAUACCCGCUGAACUUAAGCAUAUCAAUAAGCGGANGAAA